CACAACAUGCAGAAGGACAUCUUCAGCUGCAGGGUCUUUGUAAUGCAGGUUUGAUAGUUACAUUUUCAAUAAUGUGACAAUUAGGUAAAAACUCUAUUUUAUUUUUUGGUGUAGAUGGCCAAGGAAGUUGCACAGAACUUCCCCAACAUCCCAAAUUGAUAAGGAACCUUCACAAAAACACAUGGAGCAACUGCGAAAAGAAAUGGCUGAGGAUAUACUAAAAAUGUCUGUUCAAUAAAGCCAACAACUGCUUCAUGUGUGCCACUGAUAAAGAACCUGGAUAUGGCCCAAAGACUGACUGGAUUGAAUGUUUUGCAUUCGGUGGUUCCAUGUGCUGUGCCUCGGAAUGAAGACAACAGAGUUCAACAGAGUAAAGAACACAAACUGGAAGUGCAGUCUGUUGUUGAUAAUGUAUGCUCUACCCCAGGGGUGUCAAAGUCAAAUGGACGGAGGGCCAAAUAAAAAAUUUAGCUACAAGCCGAGGGCCGGACUGUUCGAAUGUUCAUUGAAAAAUUUUUAAAUGACGCAUAUAGUCUAGUGAACCUAAUUGAACCUACUGAAAACCUAACAAAUAU